GACGAACGCUGGCGGCGUGCUUAACACAUGCAAGUCGAACGAUGAAGCGGUACUUGCACCGUGGAUUAGUGGCGAACGGGUGAGUAAUACGUGAGUGACCUACCUUUGACUCUGGGAUAAGCCUGGGAAACUGGGUCUAAUACCGGAUACGACCAAUCUCUGCAUGGGGUGUUGGUGGAAAGCGUUAUGGAGUGGUUUUAGAUGGGCUCACGGCCUAUCAGCUUGUUGGUGAGGUAAUGGCUUACCAAGGCGACGACGGGUAGCCGGCCUGAGAGGGUGACCGGCCACACUGGGACUGAGACACGGCCCAGACUCCUACGGGAGGCAGCAGUGGGGAAUAUUGCACAAUGGGCGCAAGCCUGAUGCAGCGACGCCGCGUGAGGGAUGACGGCCUUCGGGUUGUAAACCUCUGUUAGCAUCGAAGAAGCGAAAGUGACGGUAGGUGCAGAGAAAGCGCCGGCUAACUACGUGCCAGCAGCCGCGGUAAUACGUAGGGCGCGAGCGUUGUCCGGAAUUAUUGGGCGUAAAGAGCUUGUAGGCGGUUGGUCGCGUCUGCUGUGAAGGCCGGGGCUUAACUCCGGUUUUGCAGUGGGUACGGGCUAACUAGAGUGCAGUAGGGGAGACUGGAAUUCCUGGUGUAGCGGUGGAAUGCACAGAUAUCAGGAGGAACACCGAUGGCGAAGGCAGGUCUCUGGGCUGUAACUGACGCUGAGAAGCGAAAGCAUGGGGAGCGAACAGGAUUAGAUACCCUGGUAGUCCAUGCCGUAAACGUUGGGCACUAGGUGUGGGGGACAUUCCACGUUUUCCGCGCCGUAGCUAACGCAUUAAGUGCCCCGCCUGGGGAGUACGGCCGCAAGGCUAAAACUCAAAGGAAUUGACGGGGGCCCGCACAAGCGGCGGAGCAUGCGGAUUAAUUCGAUGCAACGCGAAGAACCUUACCAAGGCUUGACAUGCAUUAGAUCGCGUCAGAGAUGGCGUUUCCCUUCGGGGCUGGUGUACAGGUGGUGCAUGGUUGUCGUCAGCUCGUGUCGUGAGAUGUUGGGUUAAGUCCCGCAACGAGCGCAACCCUCGUUCUAUGUUGCCAGCGGUUCGGCCGGGGACUCAUAGGAGACUGCCGGGGUUAACUCGGAGGAAGGUGGGGAUGACGUCAAAUCAUCAUGCCCCUUAUGUCUUGGGCUUCACGCAUGCUACAAUGGCCGGUACAGAGGGUUGCGAUACUGUGAGGUGGAGCUAAUCCCUUAAAGCCGGUCUCAGUUCGGAUUGGGGUCUGCAACUCGACCCCAUGAAGUCGGAGUCGCUAGUAAUCGCAGAUCAGCAACGCUGCGGUGAAUACGUUCCCGGGCCU
rnacentral:rRNA from 1 species